CGGACGGGUGAGUAACGCGUAGGAAUCUAUCUUUGGUGGGGGGACAACCGUGGGAAACUACGGCUAAUACCGCAUGAGGCCUGAGGGCCAAAGCUUAUGAGAGCGCCUGAGGAGGAGCCUGCGUCCGAUUAGCUAGUUGGUGGGGUAAAGGCCUACCAAGGCUGCGAUCGGUAGCUGGUCUGAGAGGAUGAUCAGCCACACUGGGACUGAGACACGGCCCAG
rnacentral:rRNA from 1 species